rnacentral:rRNA from 1 species
UACGUAGGGUGCAAGCGUUGUCCGGAAUUAUUGGGCGUAAAGAGCUCGUAGGCGGUUUGUCGCGUCUGCUGUGAAAACUCAGGGCUUAACCCUGAGCCUGCAGUGGGUACGGGCAGACUAGAGUGUGGUAGGGGAGAUCGGAAUUCCUGGUGUAGCGGUGAAAUGCGCAGAUACUGGGAGGAACACCAGUGGCGAAGGCGGCUACCUGGACCGGUUCUGACGCUGAGGCGCGAAAGCGUGGGUAGCAAACAGG